rnacentral:rRNA from 1 species
GACGAACGCUGGCGGCGUGCUUAACACAUGCAAGUCGAACGGUGAACGCAGGAGCUUGCUCCUGCCGGAUCAGUGGCGAACGGGUGAGUAACACGUGAGCAAUCUGCCCCGAACUCUGGGAUAAGCACUGGAAACGGUGUCUAAUACUGGAUACGACGCGGGAGGGCAUCCUCACCGCGUGGAAAGAAUUUCGGUUCGGGAUGAGCUCACGGCCCAUCAGCUUGUUGGUGAGGUAAUGGCUCACCAAGGCGACGACGGGUAGCCGGCCUGAGAGGGUGACCGGCCACACUGGGACUGAGACACGGCCCAG